rnacentral:rRNA from 1 species
CAGUAGCCACGGUAAUACGUAGAGUGCGAGCGUUAAUCGGAAUUACUGGGCGUAAAGCGUGCGCAGGCGGCUUUGCAAGACAGAUGUGAAAUCCCCGGGCUCAGCCUGGGAACUGCAUUUGUGACUGCAAGGCUAGAGUACGGUAGAGGGGGAUGGAAUUCCGCGUGUAGCAGUGAAAUGCGUAGGUAUGCGGAGGAACACCAAUGGCGAAGGCAAUCCCCUGGACCUGUACUGACGCUCAUGCACGAAAGCGUGGGGAGCAAACAGGAUUAGAUACCCCUGUAGUCCCUGUCUCUUAUAU